AGUGAACGCUGGCGGUAGGCCUAACACAUGCAAGUCGAACGGCAGCACAGUAAGAUUUUGCUCUUACGGGUGGCGAGAGGCGGACGGGUGAGGAAUACAUCGGAAUCUACUUUUUCGUGGAGGAUAACGUAGGGAAACUUACGAUAAUACCGCAUACGACCUACCGGUGAAAGCAUUGGAACGUCUCACCUGGCGCGAUUGAAUGAGCCGAUGUCGGAUUAGCUAGUUGGCGGGGUAAAGGCCCACCAAGUCGACGAUCCGUAGCUGGUCUGAGAGGAUGAUCAGCCACCCUGGAACUGAGACACGGUCCAGACUCCUACGGGAGGCAGCAGUGGGGAAUAUUGGACAAUGGGCGCAAGCCUGAUCCAGCCAUACCGCGUGGGUGAAGAAGGCCUUCGGGUUGUAAAGCCCUUUUGUUGGGAAAGAAAAGCAGCAGGUUAAUACCCCGCUGUUCUGACGGUACCCAAAGAAUAAGCACCGGCUAACUUCGUG
rnacentral:rRNA from 1 species